AUAUAUAUAUACUCAGAUCAUAGAAUGUACAUUUUGCCUUUAAAAAAGCAAUCAAAUACAACUUUCAACAACGGAUCUCUUGGCUCUCGCAUCGAUGAAGAACGCAGCGAAAUGCGAUAAGUAAUGUGAAUUGCAGAUUUUCAGUGAAUCAUCGAAUCUUUGAACGCACCUUGCGCUCCUUGGUAUUCCGAGGAGCAUGCCUGUUUGAGUGUCAUUAAAUCCUCAACCCCGUCCGUUGGUCGGGGCUUGGACUUUGGAGCGUGCUGGCGAAGGUCGGCUCCUCUUUAAAUGCAUCAGCGGAGAAAAACAAACCUUUUUUCCCCCUUCAGCGUGAUAACUGCGUUGCGCUGUGGUCGCGAAAGGGUCCGCUCAUAAUUGUCCUCGGACAAACACCGAAUC
rnacentral:misc_RNA from 1 species